rnacentral:rRNA from 1 species
AGUGAACGCUGGCGGUAGGCCUAACACAUGCAAGUCGAACGGCAGCACAGUAAGAGCUUGCUCUUACGGGUGGCGAGUGGCGGACGGGUGAGGAAUACAUCGGAAUCUACUUUUUCGUGGGGGAUAACGUAGGGAAACUUACGCUAAUACCGCAUACGACCUACGGGUGAAAGCAGGGGAUCUUCGGACCUUGCGCGAUUGACUGAGCCGAUGUCGGAUUAGCUAGUUGGCGGGGUAAGGGCCCACCAAGGCGACGAUCCGUAGCUGGUCUGAGAGGAUGAUCAGCCACACUGGAACUGAGACACGGUCCAGACUCCUACGGGAGGCAGCAGUGGGGAAUAUUGGACAAUGGGCGCAAGCCUGAUCCAGCCAUACCGCGUGGGUGAAGAAGGCCUUCGGGUCGUAAAGCCCUUUUGUUGGGAAAGAAAAGCAGCAGGUUAAUACCCCGCUGUUCUGACGGUACCCAAAGAAUAAGCACCGGCUAACUUCGUG